GUCGAACGCAGUAGCAAUACUGAGUGGCAAACGGGUGAGUAUAAUGUGGGAAUCUGCCUUUUGGUUUGGAAUAACACGGGGAAACUUGUGCUAAUACCGAAUAAGCCCUCACGGGGAAAGUUUUAACGCCGAAAGAUGAGCCUGCACUUGAUUAGCUAGUUGGUAAGGUAAAGGCUUACCAAGGCAACGAUCAAUAGCUGUUCUUAGAGGAAGACCAGCCACAUUGGGACUGAGACACGGCCCAGACUCCUACGGGAGGCAGCAGUGGGGAAUCUUGCACAAUGGGGGAAACCCUGAUGCAGCGAUGCCGCGUGAGUGAAGAAGGCCUUUGGGUUGUAAAACUCUUUCGUCGGGGAAGAAAAUGACUGUACCCGAAUAAGAAGGUCCGGCUAACUUCGUGCCAGCAGCCGCGGUAAUACGAAGGGACCUAGCGUAGUUCGGAAUUACUGGGCUUAAAGAGCUCGUAGGUGGUUAAAAAAGUUGAUGGUGAAAUCCCAAGGCUCAACCUUGGAACUGCCAUCAAAACUUUUUAGCUAGAGUGUGAUAGAGGUAAGUGGAAUUUCUAGUGUAAAGGUGAAAUUCGUAGAUAUUAGAAAGAAC
rnacentral:rRNA from 1 species